AGAUCGGCAAUGGAAGAAAGAAAAAGUAAAGAGAGAAAAAAGCAAAGGCAUUCAUUGUGAUAAAAAUGUUAAUGCUUGUUUUCAACCUUUUUCCCUCUACUCAACAGAAAAGAAGAAAAAGGAAACGGUCUAUUUUUUGUGAAAGCAAUGGAAGAUCAAACGGUGCCAAUAAAUAUUUGGAAUCUUGCUUUCAACCUUUUUAACGUUAGCAUUCAGGAACCCCCCUUCCCCCAACCCUUACCAGUUACCAACCCUAACUCACUACAACUCUCCAACGGCGCAGCAGCACACCCUCCCUCGUCCCUCCCAUCACCCUCGAGCUAGCCAUUCCUCUCAACGCCGGCGAGCUCAGUCCCUCCCUUUCGUUCAGCCGCCGGACUACUCCUGACGCCGUCGCCGGCUGGAGCUUCGAAGCUCACUCGGUCCCUCACUCAGCCAACGUCUCAGACUCUCAGCAGUGGAAGCAUAGUCGCCGGACUCGCCUCCUGCCUCCGUCGCGAAGCUUUGUUCUACCUUCGCCGGCGCCGUCUCUGUUCCUGCCUCCGUCGCCAGCUCUCCGUUUCCAGCGCCGUCAUCCUUCUUUGCAUUUGAAACGGAGUGAUUUGAGGAUGUGGUAGGCAGCACUUGGCUGCAUAUGUCAACCUUGCAACCUUUUAUCUCAUUGAUUACCAAUAUCAUGUCUCUUUGGAUUUAAGACCAAUACGCAAUUCAAGAGUCAUACAGUGGCAGAGACCUAAUUUUUUUGCAUUCUUCCCAUCAAGUGACAACACUGCUGACUUCAUGGGCAAGAUGCUCAGAACUGGACUCAACAUCGUUGGUUUCAAUUGGCUCUCUUCUACGGCGGCAACCGAGCUUGUGAGCACCAGGGCUUGGCUAAGAACUCAGGCUACCAAAAAAAUUUCUCUUCCUGGGUCACGUGGUAGCAUGACGUUAGGCACAACAUGCGAGGAAAUAUUGGCAACACUCGUGGCUGCUAGAGACAGAAUGCUAAAUCAGAUAUGAAGAGACAAGAUUGGAAAGCUCUGUACGGUUCAAAAAGUCGCUUAUAUUGCAGGGUUUGAUUCAAACAACUUCAGAGCCACUAAGAUCUCGAGAUCGAGUUCGUUCUCGUUGUUACCAUAAUCUGUAACACCCUACCACACAAAACUUUACGUCUAAGACGUAAAUCAGAGGUGGUGAGACGCUACGACCUCUAAAAGUAAGUGUGUGUGUGUGUGCAUAUACAUAUACACACAUAUAUAUAGUUGAAAGAAAUUGUAACUACGAACCUUGAAAAAAAUAAGUUGAACAAAACACCAACACAAAGGCGCAUCACUCACGAAAGAUAAGCAUAGAUGGAUAAGCAAGAUUGAAAGAAAAGUUAUAAACAUAUAUAUAUGGAUUAGAAUUCCAAAAUACAGAUAAUAAGCUUCGAACUUGACCUGCAAAGCUAAAACCGACUAGAGAAUAUUUGCAUACAUAUAUACAUCCCAAAACAUCCCAAAAUAUAUCCCAAAAUAGAAAACUAACAACCUGUUUCUCCAAGUCACCUCUAAGAGAGAUAAAACAUAAAAUAUA